rnacentral:tRNA from 1 species
GGCGCUGUGGCGCAGCGGGUUAAUGCCCUGGCCUGCAAUGUCGGCAUCCCACCUGGGCACGGGUUCGAGUCCCGGCUGCUCCA